rnacentral:rRNA from 1 species
GAGGAAUAAGCAUCGGCUAACUCCGUGCCAGCAGCCGCGGUAAUACGGGGGAUGCAAGCGUUAUCCGGAAUCAUUGGGCGUAAAGCGCCUGUAGGUUGUUUAAUAAGUCUGUUGUUAAAGACUAGGGCUCAACCCUAGAAAAGCAAUGGAAACUACUAGACUAGAGUAUGGCAGGGGUAGAGGGAAUUUCUAGUGUAGCGGUGAAAUGCGUAGAUAUUAGAAAGAACACCGGUGGCGAAAGCGCUCUACUGGACCAUUACUGACACUCAGAGGCGAAAGCUAGGGUAGCAAAAGGGAUUAGAUACCCCUGUAGUCCUAGCCGUAAACGAUGGAUACUACAUGUUGUGCUUUAUGUACAGUAUGGUAGCUAACGCGUUAAGUAUCCCGCCUGGGGAGUACGCUCGCAAGGGUGAAACUCAAAGGAAUUGACGGGGGCCCGCACAAGCGGUGGAGCAUGUGGUUUAAUUCGAUGCAACGCGAAGAACCUUACCAGGACUUGACAUACUACAAAUUCUUUUGAGAAAAAGAAGUGCCUUCGGGAAUGUAGAUACAGGUGGUGCAUGGCUGUCGUCAGCUCGUGUCGUGAGAUGUUGGGUUAAGUCCCGCAACGAGCGCAACCCUUAUUUUUAGUUACCAAUUCGUUGGGUUCUCUAGAAAGACUGCCGGUGACAAACCGGAGGAAGGUGAGGAUGACGUCAAGUCAGCAUGCCCCUUAUGUCCUGGGCUACACACGUGCUACAAUGGUUAAGACAAAGAGUCGCGAGCUCGCAAGAGUCAGCUAAUCUCAUAAACUUAGCCCAAGUUCAGAUUGUAGGCUGCAACUCGCCUACAUGAAG